UCGCACCUACCGAUUGAAUGGUCCGGUGAAGCCUCGGGAUUGCCAUGAGUUUCCUUUGUUGGGAGUUCGCGGCGAGAACUUGUCUAAACCUUAUCAUUUAGAGGAAGUAA
rnacentral:rRNA from 1 species